AACGCGAAGAACCUUACCUGGGCUCGAACGGCUGGUCAACGCCGGUGGAAACAUCGGUACCCCGCAAGGGGGUCCAGUCGAGGUGCUGCAUGGCUGUCGUCAGCUCGUGUCGUGAGAUGUUGGGUUAAGUCCCGCAACGAGCGCAACCCUUGUCCUGUGUUGCCAUCAUUCAGUUGGGAACUCGCAGGAGACCGCCAGGGAUAACCUGGAGGAAGGGUGGGGAUGACGUCAAGUCCUCAUGGCCUUUAUGUCCAGGGCUACACACGUGCUACAAUGGACGGUACAAAGCGCAGCAAACCCGCGAGGGGGAGCCAAUCGACAAAAAACCGUUCUCAGUUCGGAUUGCAGGCUGCAACUCGCCUGCAUGAAGCUGGAAUCGCUAGUAAUGGCAGAUCAGCACGCUGCCGUGAAUACGUUCCCGGGCCUUGUACACACCGUAGUAC
rnacentral:rRNA from 1 species